UGGGGGGAAUCUUCCGCAUUGGGCGAAGUAUGACGGAGCAACGCCGCGUGAGUGAUGACGGUUUUCGGAUCUGAAGCUCUGUUGUUAGGGAAGAAGAGUGCCGUUCAAAUAGGGCGGCACCUUGCCGGUACCUAACCAAAAAGCCCCGGCUAAUUACAUGCCAGCACCCGCGGUAA
rnacentral:rRNA from 1 species